CUGGGCUGGGCCGGGCUGGUCCGGCCGCCCCUGCCCCGCGGGGUCCCCAGGCCGGCCCCGCCGCCCCUGGCAGGAGCAGCCGGGGGAGCGGGCGAGCAGCGGCCCCGCCCGCAGCGGAAGGUCUCCACUGUUGUAACUGGAGGAAUAGAAAAUGUUGUCUUCGCUUUUAAUAAUUUGUCUAUGGGAGAAGUACUUUUUCUGCCAGUAAGAGAAAACUUUGCAUCUGGAAGAUGAAAACAUUGGAAUAACCAAGGAGAGGACAACAUCAUCAUUGUAUUUGUGAGUCUCUUCCAGCUCAUUCACCCAGCACAACUUUUAAGGUCAGUAGCACAUUGGGUAAUUGAUACUGGCAAAUGAAUGGCAUUUCUGUGGCCACAU
rnacentral:lncRNA from 1 species